CGCCGGCAUGGUCGCCGCGGUAUUCGAGGCUCGUGACCUGGAACGGCCCCUCGAUCGUGCCGAAGGCCGGCACC
rnacentral:tRNA from 1 species